rnacentral:rRNA from 1 species
CGACCUCAGAUCAGGCAAGACCACCCGCUGAGU